rnacentral:misc_RNA from 1 species
AUGGUAAAACAGUUGGAGGGUGCUUGUCGAUUUGUCGCAAUGAAACUAAUAAUACAAGGGGGUGCUAUGGCCUCAACUGUUGCCAGGCCACUAUUCCUCCCAAUGUCCAGUCUUUUUAAGCAAAUAUGACAAACCCAAGUGGUGAGGUUGAUUGCAUAGGACGUAAGUCCGCCUUCAUGGUUUUCCAAGAUUCGUUUGAAUCAAGAAGCCUUGAUGAAGUUCUCCAAAGGGAUCAUGUCCCUGCAAUGAUAGAAUGGGCAAGAUUUCAAGGGAAUUGCGAUCUAAGCGAAACUAUAACCCCGUACAUCAAUUGUACCUCAGACUCCAAGUAUUGCUGGGCGCAGAUAAGCACAAAGCAAUUGUGUAUUUGCAGAAAUUGUCAAGAUGACCGCAAAUGCACAUCUGGACGGAGCUACAACUGUGAUCUGUUUUGUAUGCAUCCCCCGGGAGGCUACGACUGCUCUUGUCCAACUGAGAAUUAUGAAAAAAUUUCCAACAUUUGUUACCCAUCACAUCUCUUUUCAAACCAAAAAUCCCGGGCCAAGAUCAUCAUUAUAGGCUGUGCAUCAGGUCUUGGAUUACUGUUCUUUCUAAUUGGCUUAUGGUUGUUGUACAAGUUAAUAAUGAGAAGACGGGCAAUGAAACUCAAGCAAAAGUUUUUCAAAAGGAACGGUGGGCUAUUAUUCCAACAACAACUCUCCUCUGAGGGAAACAAUGUUGAUCAAACAAGAUUAUUUGCUAGCAACGAAUUGGAGAAUGCAACUGACCACUAUCAUGUGAAUAGAAUCCUUGGUCAAGGAGGUCAAGGAACAGUUUACAAAGGAAUGUUGACGGAUGGGAGAGUUGUUGCAAUUAAGAAAUCCAAAGUAGUAGAUGAAGACAAGCUUGAGCAAUUUAUCAAUGAGGUGUUAAUUUUAUCACAAAUCAACCAUAGAAAUAUUGUGAAGCUACUUGGAUGUUGUUUGGAGACAGAAGUUCCUCUACUUGUUUAUGAGUUCAUCCCUAAUGGAACACUCUUCCAAUAUAUACAUAAUCAAAAUGAAGAGUUUCCAGUUACAUGGGAAAUGCGUUUGCG